rnacentral:rRNA from 1 species
CAGCCGCCACGGGAAUACGAAGGGGGCUAGCGUCGUUCGGAUUUACUGGGCGUAAAGGGCGCGUAGGCGGACUGAUAAGUCAGGGGUGAAAUCCCAAGGCUCAACCUUGGAACUGCCUUUGAUACUGUUUGUCUUGAGUUCGAGAGAGGUAAGUGGAACUGCGAGUGUAGAGGUGAAAUUCGUAGAUAUUCGCAAGAACACCAGUGGCGAAGGCGGCUUACUGGCUCGAAACUGACGCUGAGGCGCGAAAGCGUGGGGAGCAAACAGGAUUAGAUACCCCUGUAGUCCCUGUCUCUUAUAC